CAGUCGCCGCGGUAAAACGAAGGGGGCUAGCGUUGCUCGGAAUCACUGGGCGUAAAGGGUGCGUAGGCGGGUCUUUAAGUCAGGGGUGAAAUCCUGGAGCUCAACUCCAGAACUGCCUUUGAUACUGAAGAUCUUGAGUUCGGGAGAGGUGAGUGGAACUGCGAGUGUAGAGGUGAAAUUCGUAGAUAUUCGCAAGAACACCAGUGGCGAAGGCGGCUCACUGGCCCGAUACUGACGCUGAGGCACGAAAGCGUGGGGAGCAAACAGGAUUAGAUACCCCCGUAGUCCCUGUCUCUUAUAC
rnacentral:rRNA from 1 species